GUGGGUAGUUUGACUGGGGCGGUCUCCUCCUAAAGAGUAACGGAGGAGCACGAAGGUUAGCUAAUCCUGGUCGGACAUCAGGAGGUUAGUGCAAAGGCAUAAGCUAGCUUGACUGCGAGAGUGACGGCUCGAGCAGGUGCGAAAGCAGGUCUUAGUGAUCCGGUGGUUCUGAAUGGAAGGGCCAUCGCUCAACGGAUAAAAGGUACUCCGGGGAUAACAGGCUGAUACCGCCCAAGAGUUCAUAUCGACGGCGGUGUUUGGCACCUCGAUGUCGGCUCAUCACAUCCUGGGGCUGAAGUAGGUCCCAAGGGUAUGGCUGUUCGCCAUUUAAAGUGGUACGCGAGCUGGGUUUAGAACGUCGUGAGACAGUUCGGUCCCUAUCUGCCGUGGGCGCUGGAGAAUUGAGGGGGGCUGCUCCUAGUACGAGAGGACCGGAGUGGACGCAUCACUGGUGUUCGGGUUGUCAUGCCAAUGGCAUUGCCCGGUAGCUAAAUGCGGAAGAGAUAAGUGCUGAAAGCAUCUAAGCACGAAACUUGCCCCGAGAUGAGUUCUCCC
rnacentral:rRNA from 1 species